GGAUUGACACAAAAAAGGAACGAAUUGAAACUUGACGCCGUUCCGACAGUGUUACAGGAACAAAGCGAGCCAGCAACUUCGACACUGCAGGCAGCUCGACAGGGUCAAGCGCAAGUGAAGGACCAGGUGCUGCUGAUCCAAGUCCCAUCCAUCCAUGAAACGGCAUCAAACAAUGUACGUGUGUGCACGGCAAUUUUGCUGAGAGACCUGGUUUUUACACUAAUG